rnacentral:rRNA from 1 species
AUUGAACGCUGGCGGCAGGCCUAACACAUGCAAGUCGAGCGAGCGGCGGACGGGUGAGUAAUGUCUGGGAAACUGCCUGAUGGAGGGGGAUAACUACUGGAAACGGUAGCUAAUACCGCAUACCAUCAGAUGUGCCCAGAUGGGAUUAGCUAGUAGGUGGGGUAAUGGCUCACCUAGGCGACGAGCCCUAGCUGGUCUGAGAGGAUGACCAGCUACACUGGAACUGAGACACGGUCCAGACUCCAACGGGAGGCAUGGUAGGGGAGUAUUACACAAUUGGCGCAGGCCGGGUGCAGCCAUGCCGCGUGUGUGGAGAAGGCCUUCGGGUUUUAGAGCUCUUUCGGCUGUGAAGCGUUACCCGCAGAAGAAGCACCGGCUAACUCCGUGCCAGCAGCCGCGGUAAUAC